GCUUAGAACGUCUUUAAAACAGUCAUGCCAUGAACUGCUAUGAUUAUGUGCUAGGGACACUAGCUCAGUGGCUUCUUAAAAGCCCUUAAAAUUCAAAACUUGACAUUUGCAGAAUGGACUAAUCUACAUGUUCGCACAAUGAACCUUGCUAAAAUACAUGUUCAGACUGCUUGUUUGUCAUUAAAGAAAACCUAUGAGAUGUGCAUGCAUGCACACACACAGUCAAAGAACUUUCAGUGAGGUUUGGGCUGAAAAUAUAAAAAAAAUAUCAAAAAUCUUAUUUACAAAAACCCAUAUGGUAUUGUUAAAGCUGAACUAUGACUUAAUACAGCUAGGAUUCUAAAGGAAAGCAUGUAUCAGAAUCUUUUAGAGCCAUUGUAAUGCCGAGUGCGCCACUUCUCAUUUUUAUGACUUUGCUCAUCCUUAUGUAUGUGAAUAUAAAUUAGCAUAUGAUAACAGACAAUAUUCUGCGAAGCUGUGUCCUGAGAUAUUAAGGACACACUGUACUAUACUUGAAUCCAAGGUUGGAGAUUAUUUCUAAGAUUUCCUAGCCUAUACUUGUUUUAAACUUCUAGCAAUAAUAACAUAACAUAUAUAUCUACACUAGAUCGAAAUUCCUGUAGUGAAUUAGAUAUGUACAACUACUUAGUGUAUUGGGGAAAAAAGGAACAAAUGUGUAUAUUAGUUGGUAAAUGAAUAAUGAAAACACAAAAUGAAAAAUAACAUUCUUUAGUGCAAAUAAAGUUUCACUGUGUGCUCUAUAGUC
rnacentral:lncRNA from 1 species